UAGAAUGCUGAAUUCACUAUU
rnacentral:piRNA from 1 species